CCUACGGGGCGCAGCAGUGGGGGAUAUUGCACAAUGGGGGGAACCCUGAUGCAGCGACGCCGCGUGGGUGAAGGAGUGCUUCGGCAUGUAAAGCCCUAUCGGCAGGGAAGAAGCAAGACGGUACCUGACUAAGAAGCCCCGGCUAACUACGUGCCAGCAGCCGCGGUAAUACGUAGGGGGCGAGCGUUAUCCGGAUUCACUGGGUGUAAAGGGAGCGUAGACGGCCAUGCAAGCCAGGGGUGAAAGCCCGGGGCCCAACCCCGGGACUGCCCUUGGGACUGUGCGGCUAGAGUGCGGGAGGGGCAGGCGGAAUUCCUGGUGUAGCGGUGAAAUGCGUAGAUAUCAGGAGGAACACCGGCGGCGAAGGCGGCCUGCUGGACUGGGACUGACGUUGAGGCUCGAAAGCGUGGGGAGCGAACAGGAUUAGAUACACGUGUAGUC
rnacentral:rRNA from 1 species